GGGGGGGGGGGGGGGGGGGGGUGGGGGGUGGGGGUGGGGCGGGGGGGGCCUGCGGGUGUGGGGUGCGCGGGUGGCGAGCGGGUGAGUGACGCGUGAGUAACCUGCCCUUGACUUUGGGAGAACUUCAGGAAACUGGGGCGCAGACAGGGUAGGAGCUCCUGCUGCAUGGGGGGGGUUGGAACGUUUCGGCGGUUGGGGAUGGACUCGCGGCUUAUCAGCUUGUUGGUGGGGUAGUGGCUUACCAAGGCUUUGACGGGUAGCCGGCCUGAGAGGGUGACCGGCCACAUUGGGACUGAGAUACGGCCCAGACUCCUACGGGAGGCAGCAGUGGGGAAUAUUGCACAAUGGGCGGAAGCCUGAUGCAGCAACGCCGCGUGCGGGAUGACGGCCUUCGGGUUGUAAACCGCUUUCGCCUGUGACGAAGCGUGAGUGACGGUAAUGGGUAAAGAAGCACCGGCUAACUACGUG
rnacentral:rRNA from 1 species